GGGGAAGAUCCUUUUCCUGGUAUCCAACCUGACCCUGCCCUGGCACAGCUCCAGCCGUUCCCUGGGGUUGGCAUGCAGAGGGACCUUGAAAAGUCCUCCAGCAAAGCCUUGGACACUGUCUCCCAGGGCACACUCCUGGAAAAGCUGCAGCCCACAGCCUGGACAGUUUGGUUGCAAAGGAAAGCAGGGAUGGAGUCGCUUGGCUUAUUGUUAUCUAUAGUAAUGUAAAAGCAUAAAAAUAACACUGAAGUGAUGGGAAGCGAGAUUAUGUGACUCUGGGAGAAACUUAAGGGGAACUUGGCAAUCUGAAUACAGACGUGGUGAGAUGUAUCUGUGUGUGCGUGAAAUUGCUUGGGAGUAUUUUUCUCCUGGGCAGAGAAUGCUUAACUAAAAAGUGGAUAUAGAGAAAAGCUACUGACUGGAAUUUACUGCUGAUGUAACGGGGUGGAUAAACCAUGAAAGAACUGUAAUAAAUGAUUUUGUUAUACCA